GGGGACAUAGUUUCAAUGGCUAAAAUGGGCGGCUCCAGCCCGCCAGUUGGGGGUUCGAAUCCCUCUGUCCCCA
rnacentral:tRNA from 1 species